GGGACCGUAGCUCAGGGGUAGAGCAUCUGCCUUUUAAGCAGAGGGUCGGUGGUUCGAUCCCACCCGGUCUCA
rnacentral:tRNA from 1 species